ensembl:lncRNA
CACGUUUACAGUUUUGGAGGUUAGCUGUAGCUUCUCGGGUUUUCUGCGCAGACUAAUUAACAAGCUAAUAUAACAAGCCAGAGGUUUCCCAGAGACUAUGGGUUGAGGAGGAAUUGGAAGUUUGUCGGCUUAGACCUGGUGUUAUUCCAUCAGUGUUAAACUUCCCGGCUCAUCUUGGAAGAGUACGUGCCAGAAAGACCACAACCAAGCAGCCUUGAGAUCUUAGACAACAUCUCCCUGAGGUGGGUGUCAACAGUGUUCACAGUCAGGUCUGUGGUAAUCCUGUCAAAAAACAAAACAGAAAAAAAUCUAGAUUAUAAAUCAACAUGUAACCAAAGCACUCUGUGUAUAACGCCAUAGUAUAGGAUGUAGUUCAGAAAAUGUCAAAGUAUAGCAUACUUUACUCAAGAAUAACAUAGUAUGGCCUGUAGUUCAUAGUACAGCAUGUCGGCA